rnacentral:rRNA from 1 species
AGAGUUUGAUCCUGGCUCAGAUUGAACGCUGGCGGCAGGCCUAACACAUGCAAGUCGAGCGGAUGAAAGGAGCUUGCUCCUGGAUUCAGCGGCGGACGGGUGAGUAAUGCCUAGGAAUCUGCCUGGUAGUGGGGGACAACGUUUCGAAAGGAACGCUAAUACCGCAUACGUCCUACGGGAGAAAGCAGGGGACCUUCGGGCCUUGCGCUAUCAGAUGAGCCUAGGUCGGAUUAGCUAGUUGGUGAGGUAAUGGCUCACCAAGGCGACGAUCCGUAACUGGUCUGAGAGGAUGAUCAGUCACACUGGAACUGAGACACGGUCCAGACUCCUACGGGAGGCAGCAGUGGGGAAUAUUGGACAAUGGGCGAAAGCCUGAUCCAGCCAUGCCGCGUGUGUGAAGAAGGUCUUCGGAUUGUAAAGCACUUUAAGUUGGGAGGAAGGGUUGUAGAUUAAUACUCUGCAAUUUUGACGUUACCGACAGAAUAAGCACCGGCUAACUCUGUGCCAGCAGCCGCGGUAAU